rnacentral:rRNA from 1 species
AUUGAACGCUGGCGGCAGGCCUAACACAUGCAAGUCGAACGAGUGGCGGACGGGUGAGUAAUGUCUGGGAAACUGCCUGAUGGAGGGGGAUAACUACUGGAAACGGUAGCUACUACCGCAUACCAUCAGAUGUGCCCAGAUGGGAUUAGCUAGUUGGGGGGGUAAAGGCUCACCAAGGCGACGAUCCCUAGCUGGUCUGAGAGGAUGACGAGCAACACUGGAACUCGGACACGGUCCAGACUCGUACGGGAGGCAGCAGUGGGUAGUAUUGCACAAUGGGCGCAAGCCUGAUGCAGCCAUGCCGCGUGUAUGAAGAAGACCUUCGGGUUGUAAAGUACUUUCAGCGGGGAGGCGUUACCCGCAGAAGAAGCACCGGCUAACUCCGUGCCAGCCGCCGCGGUAAUUC